rnacentral:rRNA from 1 species
GACGUAGGGCGCGAGCGUUUGUCCGGAUUUAUUGGGCGUAAAGAGCUCGUAGGCGGCUUGUCGCGUCGGCUGUGAAAACCCGCGGCUCAACUGUGGGCGGGCAGCUGAUACGGGCAGGCUGGAGUUCGGUAGGGGAGACUGGAAUUCCUGGUGUAGCGGUGAAAAUGCGCAGAUAUCAGGAGGAACACCAGUGGCGAAGGCGACUACCUGGCCU